UGCCAGACUCCUACGGGAGGCAGCAGUGGGGAAUAUUGCUCAAUGGGGGAAACCCUGAAGCAGCAACGCCGCGUGAAGGAAGAAGGCUUUCGGGUUGUAAACUUCUUUUGACAGGGAAGAGCAGAAGACGGUACCUGUCGAAUAAGCCACGGCUAACUACGUGCCAGCAGCCGCGGUAAUACGUAGGUGGCAAGCGUUGUCCGGAUUUACUGGGUGUAAAGGGCGUGUAGCCGGGCUGACAAGUCAGAUGUGAAAUCCGGGGGCUCAACCCCCGAACUGCAUUUGAAACUGUUGGUCUUGAGUAUCGGAGAGGCAGGCGGAAUUCCUAGUGUAGCGGUGAAAUGCGUAGAUAUUAGGAGGAACACCAGUGGCGAAGGCGGCCUGCUGGGCUUUAACUGACGCUGAGGCUCGAAAGCGUGGGUAGCAAACAGGAUUAGAUACCCUAGUA
rnacentral:rRNA from 1 species